GAUGAACGCUGGCGGCGUGCCUAAUACAUGCAAGUCGAGCGAACAGACGAGGAGCUUGCUCCUCUGACGUUAGCGGCGGACGGGUGAGUAACACGUGGAUAACCUACCUAUAAGACUGGGAUAACUUCGGGAAACCGGAGCUAAUACCGGAUAAUAUAUUGAACCGCAUGGUUCAAUAGUGAAAGACGGUUUUGCUGUCACUUAUAGAUGGAUCCGCGCCGCAUUAGCUAGUUGGUAAGGUAACGGCUUACCAAGGCAACGAUGCGUAGCCGACCUGAGAGGGUGAUCGGCCACACUGGAACUGAGACACGGUCCAGACUCCUACGGGAGGCAGCAGUAGGGAAUCUUCCGCAAUGGGCGAAAGCCUGACGGAGCAACGCCGCGUGAGUGAUGAAGGUCUUCGGAUCGUAAAACUCUGUUAUUAGGGAAGAACAAAUGUGUAAGUAACUAUGCACGUCUUGACGGUACCUAAUCAGAAAGCCACGGCUAACUACGUGCCAGCAGCCGCGGUAAUACGUAGGUGGCAAGCGUUAUCCGGAAUUAUUGGGCGUAAAGCGCGCGUAGGCGGUUUUUUAAGUCUGAUGUGAAAGCCCACGGCUCAACCGUGGAGGGUCAUUGGAAACUGGAAAACUUGAGUGCAGAAGAGGAAAGUGGAAUUCCAUGUGUAGCGGUGAAAUGCGCAGAGAUAUGGAGGAACACCAGUGGCGAAGGCGACUUUCUGAUCUGUAACUGACGCUGAUGUGCGAAAGCGUGGGGAUCAAACAGG
rnacentral:rRNA from 1 species